CGUUUAAUCAACAGUUUAUUUUCCACAGAAGAUAUUAUCUCUCAUUCGAGUCAUACUCGCAAAUCUUUCAAAAAUACAUUAUAUAUGAACAAAACAAUCGAAAGAAAGGGAAUCGAGGGCGCAUUUUGACGCCGAAAUAAAUCGCGGUCUGCGACUGAAAUUAACGCGAGAUGGACAAUUAAGAAAUGAACGGAUAUUUUCAUUUUUGCUUCUUUGUAAAAAGUUCGUAAAACGUCAUAAAUACCAUUUCAUACAUCGAACACUGAAACUUUGUAAAUGUAAAAAAAAAUAAUAAUCAAAAGCUCGCAUAGCUGUCAAUUCGUUGCAGUAAACGCAUUUCUACUUUAAGCUUUCCGCUAAAAAAAAAGCUUCUUUAGAACAAAACAAGAAAAUGUUUAAGCGGUUAAGAGGCUUUUCGUUAUUUUGUUUUAUUUCAUUUUAUUUUUGAUUUGCUAUUCAUUCAAUCAGUUGUUUUUUUUCUUCGUUUAUCAUCAGUUAUGCGUGUAGGCUAAUCAUAACCGAUAAAUAGACUAUCACGUUAUAGUUUUGAUAUUCGGGGAGAAUAUCGAACAUUACCAGACGAAUAUUUCAGUCCCGAAAUAUGAAUUCUCUUUCUUUCUUUUCUGUUUAAAGUGCAUAAAAUCCAUCAAACACGUCUCCGCCGUAACAUCUCGAAGUCAUUUGUUCGUCAGUGUGCUUUGUAGAAAACGAGGGCAUGCAUUUUAACAUUUUCUGCAAUCAUCAAGUGAACGUGCAAAGUUUUUUUUAUUUAUCAACGUGGCAUUUAAAAUUAAUUUUUAAAUGAAACCAUGCGCGAUAGUGCUGCAUUGUAUUGUUCUAAGCUUGAAAGUGGUUAUCACAAUGUAAAAAAAAAAAAAACAAUCGUGCAAUAAUCAUUACGGCUCGUGAUCUUGAGGACCCAUUUAUAACGUAUCACGUGUAACCCGCGUAUUGGCCAGAAGCGCCAGCGACACUGUAUUUUAAAUUACAUUUUUAAAAGAAAAUUAACCUUUGAAAUGUCUCUUUGCUUACUAACACGUUUCCCGGCUUUAUUAAGAGCUCUGGGUCGAGUAAGAAAGCGGAAAGUACAGGCUAAAAGACUUUUCCCUCGCGUUUUUUUUUUUUUUUUUUUUUUUACAGCAGGCGACUGCUUCAAAUUUCCAGCAAGAGCGACGAUAGUUAGUCAUCGCUCAUAAUUGAGGGUCCAGAAAAUAUAACGAACUAGACAAGAAAUCUACCUUAAAGACAACAUUUGGAUACGUGCUUUUUUUUAAACUCUUGCUGCUCACCUAUUAUUGUGCGUGAAGCCUGUUGGAUUGGAUUUGAUUUCCCCAGAAUACAAAUUAGUGUAGUCUAACGUGUCCAGAAAAACAGAAAAAGACGCAAGGCUCCUAAAUAAUGUAAAGCUUAUAUUUCUAAAUCUAUCACACUUGAUUACAGUUUGAUACCGUUGUGUCUGUCAGUUUGCUUUUUAAAGGUGAUGACCAUCUUAGAUUAAUAUAAAUGGAAGCUUUGAGAGAGAGAGAGAGAAAAUAAUACAUAAUCAAAUACAAUUAAGAUGAUGGAUCGCUUUAUGAGUUUCUGAAUGGGAUGUUCAGGUGGAGUCGUCGUUCUUGUCUCCUGAUGAGCUUCACACCACUAGAUGUCGCCGCGUGUUACAGAAAGGCAUCUCGGACUCCGAUUUCGUUUCUCACUUCGAACGAAUUUCUAGAGAACGACCGGCUGAGGCAAUAUUUAGAAAUGACUUGAAACAUCAUUAAGAAUAGAGUUUAUUAUUUAUUUUUUUUGUUUGCUGUCUGUCACGUUUAGAGGAGUUGUGCACGGGGUUAUGUGUCCUGCACUGAAAUAAAGAUGUAGCCAUAGCAGUCGAAAUAGGGAAGGGAAAGCUCAAGUUUAUCAACACCGUAACAUUUUUUUUAAAUAUGCACCAUUUCAUCUCAAUUCUAUGUUAAUCGUAUGUGUGCACUGCAUUAUUCGGCUGAGCUAAACAAUAGAAAGAAAACACGAAUGUCUUUGUAUUGAAUUACCUGGAAAUCAGUCUAUCUCCACUCCCUCUUCACAUAUCUCUCUCUCUCUCUCUCUCUCUCUAUCUCUCUCUAUCUCUCUAUCUAUCAUACGUUUAACUCACUUAAACAACAAGUCUCUCCAUAUAUUUUAUAGCCUAUUUCAUAUGUAUGUAUAUGUAUAUCUAUAGCGGUGAUAUUAAUGAUUGUGAAAAGAACCACGAGAGAAAAAAAUAGAAAUAAGCCACAGGGUUCGUUUAGAUGUUAGACUAUUUAGAUUUCCCUCCUUCUCAUCUUUUGCACGCCUGAUUAAAGAGGCUGUCCAUUAAUUACACGUCUGUUUUUGAUUAAAUAAGUGACCGUGUUGACAAUUUGUUGCCUGUAUUUUUUCUUUUUGCCGUAUGUUUAUGUACGUCGAUAAUAUAAUCAUUAUCUUUUGAAUUUAAAAACACUAUUUAAACGUUGGGGGAAAUGUCCUGUUCAAGAUACGCAAAACUAUAAAAAAUGUUUUAAUUAAUUUAAAGUAGUAGUCUAACGGUUAUAGAAAUGUGUUAGUGAAUACAAAACUCCUACAUUUGUCAAUUCCUCACAGUGAAACGGCUUUUUUAUGUCUCUAAAACAUUCUUUAAUUGUUAUUAAGACACGUUUGGAUUGGGCUUUAGGGGUGUCUUCGGGAAUUGCCUGAAAUCUCUUUUCAUCCUGCGCUAAGUCGAAAUUCGUCUUAAUAUGCACCUGACCUUAACUUUUACUAAGUAUAGAUUAGGUUACUUGGUCCGGAAAACCAAUCAAAGGCAAAAAAACAAAAACAAAAAAAAGCUUAGAAUUGAAAGCUAAGUAACAUGAGAAUAUCGUGAAAGUAAAUUUAGAUUUGAAGAGAGCUAACUGAAUUCAUUCUCCAAUAUGCUAUACAGAAACAGUUUUAUAUUAGAAUUCAGGAGGUUAUUGUGAGUCAUUGUCUCCCGUUAUAUUUAUAGGAGCUGUGGGAAAGUUUGAAAUCCUUUUCUCUAUAGGUUUUAAAUAUGCAUAAGUAUGGUAAUCGCGGUCCUGCUGUGUUGCAAACAGGCGCAGCAGAUCACACAUGUGCUACACAACUUCGGACCGUACGAAGUCGCCGGGAUGAGGACAUGCAGAGUCUAAGUAAGUCCCGUUUUGCUCAUUGACGUCUGUUCGUAUAAAGAUAUAUAGCAGGGCUGUCUGAAGUUUAAGGCGGAAAACAUGCGAGCAUAGGACAGCACGUGUGUUGACCCACUGGGAGUAAAUCUUUACGUGUGCCCGUCUGACCACUUCUAUUGGGUGCCAGAUCAGUCGAGCAAAGGUUCACAAGAUGAAGAUCAGACGCUUUACGAGUAGGAACUAUGAAGAAGAGAUGCUUAAGAUUGCGCAAAAAAAAGUUCUGGAAAAGAGUCUCGACUCGAAAGUGAACGCAAUUAUAUUAAUAGGAAGUGGAUAUUAGGCCUAUUGAUGACUUUAGCGGACUGAAAAAAAUGUGACCAUUACCACUGGAAGUGUGCAGAAGGAAACUGCCAUCAGUGUUAAUAAAUGAUAAACUAACAUGAGUGAUGCUUCUGAGGAGGUGCGUUGCUCUUUGAUGUGAGGAAGAAAGGUUGAGAGAGCUCUCUCCAGCACAUGACACCCUCAUUAGUGACCAGCAGCCAAAGACGCGGGGUCACAAACCCAAUGAGUUGACCAUUUCAUUCACUGUGACCUAGUGCUGCGGUGCGGUCUGACAGCAACAUACACAGUAGCUCGAAUAACCCUUGAAACUUGUGAAGAGUGCCUUAUUUUUUAUGAAACCGAUAUAGGGUCCAACUUUUCAACAUGCUUGUAGAUUUUAUUCAUUCAAUAAAUUGUGCAUUUUUCUAAAAAAGGGAACA